UUAUUUUUUUCACUAAACUUUUCACUAUUAAUUAAAAUAAUAUAUUUUAAUUAAUCACAAAACUCUUAGAAAAUAUUUAUAAAAUAGAGCAAUUUUUUAUAUUAUAUGAUUUCAUCAAAUGUUAGGCCAUUGAAAAAUGACCUAAACGUUAAAUAUUACAUAGCAAAAAGUGAGGUUGAUUUUUUCGAGACAGUAACGCAUCGUGAAGUUAACAGGGAGGACGAAUAAGCUUUAGUGGACAGGUGGAGAAUUACCAAAACACAGUAUCUCAAGUUGUAGAAUUGCUUGGAGAUGAAGACUCAGCUGCUGAGUAUCUAAGUAAAUGCAUUUACUCAAUAGGAUUGGGAAGCAAUGACUAUCUCAACAAUUACUUCAUGCCCCAAUUUUACUCAACAGGCAACCAAUAUACACCUCAACAAUAUUCUGAAAACCUCAUUCAACAGUAUGCUGAACAACUUAGGGUAACUCCUACACUUUCCCUCUCUCGAUCGGUUGGCUUGAACAUGUCGACCGACUGUACGUUUUUUAGUCUUUCUUUUAUAGUUGUAAAUAAUAUGAUUAGACCUAUAGUCGUCGUAGAUUGAUCCAAUUUUCAGAGAGUUUAUAAACGAUUGAAUCUAUCAUUGAAUAGAUUUUACUAUAUUUACAAUUCUUUAAAAAUAUUUUUGAUAUAAACGGUCUCGUGUAUCGAAUUAAC
rnacentral:lncRNA from 1 species